GACGAACGCUGGCGGCGUGGAUUAGGCAUGCAAGUCGGACGGUAGGGCUUUAUCGUAAGAUAGAGUUUGAGAGUGGCGAACGGGUGAGUAACACGUAGGAAUCUACCCUUAAGACGGGGACAACCCAGGGAAACUUGGGCUAAUACCGGAUGAGAGUGCGAGAGAUUGCAUUUAAAAGGAUGGCGAAAGUUAUCGCUUAGGGAUGAGCCUGCGGUCUAUUAGUUAGUUGGUGGGGUAAGAGCUCACCAAGGCGAUGAUAGAUAGGCGGCCUUAACGGGUGGUCGCCCACACUGGGGAUUGAGAUACGGCCCAGACUCCUACGGGAGGCAGCAGUCGAGAAUAGUCUACAAUGGCCGGAAGGCUGAUAGUGCGACGCCGCGUGAACGAGGGACGCCCGUUCGGGGUGUAAAGUUUCUUUUCUAUACGAGCAGUGCUAUAUAUAUGGAUAGUAUAUAUAGAGGAUAGUAGUAUAGGAAUAAGCAACGGCUAACGUCCGUGCCAGCAGCCGACC
rnacentral:rRNA from 1 species